rnacentral:rRNA from 1 species
CGGCGCCACAAGUGGUGAUCAUGUUUAUUUGGCCUAAAGCGUCCGUAGCUGGUUCAGUAAAUCUCUUGUGAAAUCGUUGGGCUCAACUCAACGGCGUGCAGGAGAGACUGCUAAACUAGGGACCGGGAGGAGUCAGAGGUAUGCUGGGGGGAGCGGUAAAAUGCUAUAAUCCUCGGUAGACCACCUGUGGCAAAGGCGUCUGACUAGAACGGGUUCGACAGUGAGGGACGAAAGCCAGGGGAGCAAACCGGAUUAGAUACCCGAGUAGUCC